rnacentral:lncRNA from 1 species
UGGUUAGUUAAAUAAAUUAACUUUCCCCCAAGAUUUUUGAUUUGUUCAAAAAUGAACGUCCCUUUCUCUAAUCUACUAAUUUUCUGUGUAUGAUCACUUUCCCUUUUAGAAUUCUUGACCAUUAACUUGUCUCCAACAUUUAAUCUUGAAUUAACGCCCAACCAUAUUGAUACCCCUUUUGAGGAAUGUUUGCAGCUUUGAGUGAGAAACAGCUCAGUCACAGAACAAAAAGCUUCUUCUUCUUCUCCUUCUUCUUCUCAUAAUAAAUGGUUUCAUCUUUUGCCAUACCAAAAGCAAAAAAGCUACGUGGAAACGAGUUUUCACAAAGACUCUUCACGAUGAAGCCUCAGGGUUUUAC